rnacentral:rRNA from 1 species
UUGGUUAAGUUAGAAAGGGCGCACGGUGGAUGCCUUGGCACUAGGAGCCGAAGAAGGACGGGACUAACACCGAUAUGCUUUGGGGAGCUGUACGUAAGCGUUGAUCCAGAGAUUUCCGAAUGGGGGAACCCACUAUCUUUAGUCGGAUAGUAUCCUUACGUGAAUACAUAGCGUGAGGAAGGCAGACCCAGGGAACUGAAACAUCUAAGUACCUGGAGGAAGAGAAAGAAAAAUCGAUUUCCUGAGUAGCGGCGAGCGAAACGGAAAGAGCCCAAACCAAGAAGCUUGCUUCUUGGGGUUGUAGGACACUCUAUACGGAGUUACAAAAGAAAGUUAUAAAUGAAGCGGUCUGGAAAGGCCCGCCAAAGACGGUAACAGCCCGGUAGUUGAAAUGGCUUUCCCUCCAGAGUGGAUCCUGAGUACGGCGGAACACGUGAAAUUCCGUCGGAAUCCGGGAGGACCAUCUCCCAAGGCUAAAUACUCCCUAGUGACCGAUAGUGAACCAGUACCGUGAGGGAAAGGUGAAAAGCACCCCGGAAGGGGAGUGAAACAGUUCCUGAAACCGUGUGCCUACAAGUAGUUAGAGCCCGUUAAUGGGUGAUAGCGUGCCUUUUGUAGAAUGAACCGGCGAGUUACGAUUUGUUGCAAGGUUAAGCGGAAAAAGCGGAGCCGUAGCGAAAGCGAGUCUGAAUAGGGCGCAUAAGUAACAGGUCGUAGACCCGAAACCAGGUGAUCUACCCAUGUCCAGGAUGAAGGUAAGGUAAUACUUACUGGAGGUCCGAACCCACGCACGUUGAAAAGUGCGGGGAUGAGGUGUGGGUAGCGGAGAAAUUCCAAUCGAACUUGGAGAUAGCUGGUUCUCUCCGAAAUAGCUUUAGGGCUAGCCUCGAGGUAAAGAGUCAUGGAGGUAGAGCACUGUUUGGACUAGGGGCCCUUCUCGGGUUACCGAAUUCAGAUAAACUCCGAAUGCCAUGUACUUAUACUCGGGAGUCAGACUGCGAGUGAUAAGAUCCGUAGUCGAAAGGGAAACAGCCCAGACCACCAGUUAAGGUCCCCAAAUAUAUGUUAAGUGGAAAAGGAUGUGGGGUUGCUUAGACAACCAGGAUGUUGGCUUAGAAGCAGCCACCAUUGAAAGAGUGCGUAAUAG